rnacentral:misc_RNA from 1 species
GCCAAAUAUUUCACUCUUAAUAAAACAGAUAAGUUGAUAAAUCUUUUCAAAAUGGAAGCAAUUAGUUUACAUAUCUGCUCCCCAUAUUUGUUAAAGCCAUCUAAAGACCCAAAAGAACAGCUUUAGAAACCACUAAAAAUUUACAAUUUUAAUCGAUUGUUUCAAGACGAAACCAAUGAUAUGGACAUGACCAUAUAUAAAUGGGCAAUGAAGUUCACGCAAAUUUAUGACCAUUGACCUCUCUACAGAUCCAAAACAAUAACUUCAGAAAUACAUAAAUUUAAAUCAAUAGUUUCAGGGGAAGCCAACAUAAUGCAUAGGCCCACAACUCAAUGAGUAAUAUAAUGCAUGCAAAUUUCUGAGAUUGGCCGCCGAAAGAUCUUUUUCACCAUUGAUUUUGUGAGCUUCCCUCAAGAGUUAAUAUACUAUCAAACCCAUAUUCAGCCGAAUAAAUGCUAGCAGCUCUUCAUCAGUUGUCGGCCCCCAAAAAGAUGAUACAAAACAUGGACAAAUCUUCCAUUCCAUUUUGGUAUCACCAUUGGAUAUCAUGCAGGCAUGCGUCUCAAGUGUAAACUGUUAAUAUCAACAACCAGGGUUUACACCAUAUGAAAAAUGAGCAGCUCUGAUAAACUUCCACAAUUAACCCCACAUCUCCACCAAUCAUAAGUUUAUACCCCAGGAUACACAAAAAUAUGCAUCCAGUUUCAGUAUAUACAUGAACAUGAUUUGCUUGUAUCUUGUGUGAAUUUAAUACACUAGAUAAACAUAGGCUUCAUUUGGUAAACCUUUUUUUUCUUUUACUUCAGAUAAACAUAAAGGAAAAAGAUUAAAAAAAAAAAA